rnacentral:lncRNA from 1 species
ACAGUUUCACCGAGGGCCGGGUAAUUUCAUAUUCGGAUCGAAUUUGGAUGAAUUCAAUCAGAUUUCGGAUACUUCAGAUUGAAAAAAAAAAAUUAUCUGAUUUUAAUUCGAACUUCAAAUCCGAUCUAAUCUGAUCCGAAAUAAUUCGGAUCGGACUCGGAUCAGAUGAAUAUUUCGGUUAAGUUUGGAUUCAAAUCGGUUCGGAUUGAAUUCGGAUUUGGGCCUUUUUGACAAUACAAAAAAUUUAAUGAAAUCUAGAAUUAAUGAAAACAAAAGUCCUUACACAAUUCUUUCAUUAGCUUCAUUAUCAGAAGCUCAGGGUGUCAUAUGAUAAUUAAACAUCCAAAUAUGGGUAAGCCGAGAGCUUAUCUCUCUGCAGCAGCCUUCAAUCUAGUGUUCACGCUUCGUCUUCUUGAUUUGCUCAUCAAAUACUACACAUUCAAAUCCUUAGACAAUCAUGCAAUAAAGACAGGAACCUUACACAAUGAACGAGUCAGUAGUCGUGAGGUUGCUGUUGCUGUCAGCUGCUCGUCGUGAGUGGCAGCUGGACGUGGAUCAAGAUACGACUGGGUUCGUUCGGUUUGUGUUGUCGACGGCGUAAGUCGUUGUGUGUGUGGUUUGUGGUCGUAGGUUGGUUUGUUUUGUGGUCGUGCGGCUGGGUUGUUUUGUGAUUUGGGAAUUAAGUUUAACUGUUUAAGUUUUCAAUUUUUCAUUUAAUUUUUACUUUUUUUUAAGGAGUAGUGCAAUCCGAUUGGAUUAUUCGAAUUAAUCUGAAUCUGAUCCGAUCCGAUCCGAAUCAAAUCUGAUCAGACUGCACAGAUUAUAUCGAUUUGGAUUUGAAACAGAAUGCGGAUCGGAUCAGAUCUAUCCAAAUCCGAUCCGAUACCCACCCAUAGUUUCACUGCAGGCCGCCGAUAAAGUAAUUGAGUCGCCUCAUUUGUAAAGACAAAGACUAGGCUAACAACCUAGUGGUAGUGGCCAUAUGAUAUGACCCUUUUUUUUUUUUUUUUUUAAAUUUCCUGUGUUUUUCAACUUGUGGGGGCUCAGGCAGUACAGCCGUCUAGAAUGUAGACAGAAUAAGAACUAAUACAAGUACUCAAUUGUGUGUGUGAAAUUAGGAAGCUGCUACUGAACUUGCUAGUUGUACUAUAGUGGACCGCGUAAAUUUACAGUUGUGACUUGCG